UAAGACCUCGCGCUAUUGGAUGAGCCAAAGUCGGAUUAGCUAGUUGGUGGGGUAAUGGCCUACCAAGGCGACAAUCCGUAGCUGGUCUGAGAGGACGACCAGCCACACCGGAACUGAGACACGGUCCGGACUCCUACGGGAGGCAGCAGUGGGGAAUAUUGGACAAUGGGGGAAACCCUGAUCCAGCGACGCCGCGUGUGUGAAGAAGGCCUGCGGGUUGUAAAGCACUUUUAGUGGGGACAAAAAGCCACGGGUUAAUACCCGGUGGUCUUGAUUUAACCCAAAGAAAAAGCACCGGCUAACUCUGUGCCAGCAGCCGCGGUAAUACAGAGGGUGCGAGCGUUAAUCGGAAUUACUGGGCGUAAAGCGCGCGUAGACGGUUUUGUAAGUCAGAUGUGAAAUCCCCGGGCUCAACCUGGGAACU
rnacentral:rRNA from 1 species